rnacentral:rRNA from 1 species
GAUGAACGCUAGCGACAGGCUUAACACAUGCAAGUCGAGGGGCAGCAUGAAAGGAACUUCGGUUCUUUUUGAUGGCGACCGGCGCACGGGUGCGUAACGCGUAUCGAACCUGCCUCAUACUCGGGGAUAGCCUUGCGAAAGUAAGAUUAAUACCCGGCGGUCUCGGACGGCCGCAUGACUGUCCGAGUGAAGAUUUAUCGGUAUGAGAUGGCGAUGCGUCCCAUUAGCUUGUUGGUGAGGUAAUGGCUCACCAAGGCAUCGAUGGGUAGGGGUUCUGAGAGGAAGGUCCCCCACAUUGGAACUGAGACACGGUCCAAACUCCUACGGGAGGCAGCAGUGAGGAAUAUUGGUCAAUGGGCGAGAGCCUGAACCAGCCAAGUAGCGUGAGGGACGACUGCCCUAUGGGUUGUAAACCUCUUUUGUUUGGGAAUAAAGUGCGCCACGUGUGGCGCAUUGCAUGUACCAUUUGAAUAAGGACCGGCUAAUU